CGUAUCCCCUGGGCUACACGUGGGCUACAAUGGUUAGGACAAUGGGUUCCGACACUGAUAGGUGGAGGUAAUCUCCUAAACCUUUGGCCUUAGUUCGGAUUGAGGGCUGUAAUACUCGCCCUCAUGAAGCUGGAAUGCGUAGUUAAUCGCCGUGUCAUAAUCGCGCGGUGAAUACGUCGCUGCUCCUUGCACACACCGCCCGUCACGCCACCCAACCAGGGUUUGGAUGAGGCCAUAGUCUAUUGGUU
rnacentral:rRNA from 1 species